GACGAACGCUGGCGGCGUGCUUAACACAUGCAAGUCGAACGGAGUGGCGAGCGGGUGAGUAACACGUGGGUGACCUGCCCUGCACUUCGGGAUAAGCCUGGGAAACUGGGUCUAAUACCGGAUAGUGUGGGAUGGGCCCGGGGCCUAUCAGCUUGUUGGGGGGGUAAUGGCCUACCAAGGCGGCGCCGGGUAGCCGGCCUGGGAGGGUGGACGGCCACAAUGGUACUGAGACACGGCCCAGACUCCUACGGGAGGCAGCAGGGGCGAAUAUGGCACAAUGGGGGGAAGUCUGAUGAAGCGACGCCGGGGGGGGGAUGACGGCCUUCGGGGUGGAAACUCCUUUCACCAUAUACGCGGUAGAUGGAGAAGAAGCACCGGCUAACUACGUGCCAGCAGCCGCGGUAAUAC
rnacentral:rRNA from 1 species